GGAUAAGCUGUGAAUGUACCAAGUUUACUUGGAAAUUGUGUGAUUUCACGCUGCUGAAAAAAGUUUCGUAGGAAGAAAAUAUUGCCCGUACCGCAAACCGACACAGGUACUCAAGUGGAGAACACUAAGGUGAGCGAGUGAACUAUUGUUAAGGAACUCUGCAAAAUGAGUCCGUAACUUCGGAAGAAGGACUGCUGGUUUUAUACCAGCCGCAGCAAAUAGGCCCAAACAACUGUUUAUCAAAAACACAGGUUUCUGCAAAAUCGUAAGAUGAAGUAUAGGGGCUGACGCCUGCCCAGUGCUGGAAGGUUAAAAGGAGGACUUAGCUUCGGCGAAGGUCUUAAUUGAAGCCCCAGUGAACGGCGGCCGUAACUAUAACGGUCCUAAGGUAGCGAAAUUCCUUGUCGGGUAAGUUCCGACCCGCAUGAAAGGCGUAAUGAUUUGGGCGCUGUCUCAACAAUAGACUCGGUGAAAUUUAAAUUCCAGUGAAGAUGCUGGGUACCCGCGACAGGACGGAAAGACCCCGUGGAGCUUUACUGUAGCUUGAUAUUGAAUGUUUGUGCUGCAUGUGCAGGAUAGGUAGGAGACUUUGAAGUCGGAACGCUAGUUUCGAUUGAGUCACCCUUGAGAUACUACCUCUGUUGUAUGAACGUUCUAACUCUGAUCAGUUAUCCUGAUCGAAGACAGUGUCUGGCAGGCAGUUUGACUGGGGCGGUCGCCUCCUAAAAGAUAACGGAGGCGCUCAAAGGUUUGCUCAGAAUGGUUGGAAAUCAUUCGUAGCGUGUAAAGGCAUAAGCAAGCUUGACUGUGAGACUGACAAGUCGAGCAGGUACGAAAGUAGGACUUAGUGAUCCGGUGGUUCCGUAUGGAAGGGCCAUCGCUCAACGGACAAAAGCUACCCCGGGGAUAACAGGCUCAUCUCCCCCAAGAGUCCACAUCGACGGGGAGGUUUGGCACCUCGAUGUCGGCUCAUCGCAUCCUGGGGCUGUAGUCGGUCCCAAGGGUUGGGCUGUUCGCCCAUUAAAGCGGUACGCGAGCUGGGUUCAGAACGUCGUGAGACAGUUCGGUCCCUAUCCGUCGUGGGCGCAGGAAAUUUGAGAGGAUCUGUCCUUAGUACGAGAGGACCGGGAUGGACAUACCUCUGGUGUACCAGUUGUUCUGCCAAGAGCACCGCUGGGUAGCUACGUAUGGAUUAGAUAAUCGCUGAAAGCAUCUAAGUGAGAAACUAACCUCGAGAUGAGAUUUCCCAUUCGUCAGAAGUAAGACCCCUGAGAGACGAUCAGGUAGAUAGGCUAGAAGUGGAAGUGUAGUGAUGCAUGGAGCGGACUAGUACUAAUAGGUCGAGGACUUAACCAAG
rnacentral:rRNA from 1 species